rnacentral:rRNA from 1 species
CUAAGAAUAUUCCGCAAUGGACGGAAGUCUGACGGAGCGACGCCGCGUGGAUGACGAAGGCCGAAAGGUUGUAAAGUUCUUUUGCUGGGGAAGAAUAACCGCAGGAGGGAAUGCCUGUGGGAUGACAAGAACCGGCGAAUAAGCCCCGGCCAACUACGUGCCAGCAGCCGCGGUAACACGUAGGGGGGCGAGCGUUGUUCGGAAUUACUGGGCGUAAAGGGCAUGUAGGCGGCUUGGAAAGCCUGGCGUGAAAGUCUGCAGCUUAACUGCAGGGGUGCGCUGGGAACUGCUGAGCUUGAGUGACGGAGAGGGAGCUGGAAUUCCUGGUGUAGGGGUGAAAUCUGUAGAUAUCAGGAAGAACACCGAUGGCGAAGGCAAGCUCCUGGCCGAUGACUGACGCUGAGGUGCGAAAGUGUGGGGAUCAAACAGGAUUAGAUACCCUGGUAGUCCACACAGUCAACGAUGUGCACUAGGUGCUGGGGCGGUAGCUUCGGUGCCGGAGCGAACGUGGUAAGUGCACCGCCUGGGGAGUAUGCUCGCAAGGGUGAAACUCAAAGGAAUUGACGGGGGUCAU